rnacentral:piRNA from 1 species
GUAGAGACCCGGAGGCCGAGGCCGC